AUGAGAAUUUCGUUUCAGGUUGCUAGAAAAAAUUCAGGAAACGACAUUGUUUGGUUGAAAUUUGUGACUCUUGAUCUAUUUUCGAAAGCGACGCUUCCCUCAUUCUCUCAUUUUCUCCGUUCAAUCUUUCUUCUUCAAUUUCGCAUCCGUGUUCUCAUUUCAAGCCGCCGCGAAUUAGCCUCUCAAAAUGUUUCGUCCUUCUCUCUUCCUCGCGGAUUAAACCUUCGUUUUCAAAGAUUCUCCCUCAGUCUUCUCACAUCUAACAAAACCUAA